rnacentral:rRNA from 1 species
UACGUAGGUGGCAAGCGUUGUCCGGAUUUACUGGGCGUAAAGAGCGCGCAGGCGGUCGUGCAAGUCGCGUGUGAAAGCCCCCAGCUCAACUGGGGAGGGUCACGCGAUACUGCUCGACUCGAAGGCAGGAGAGGGAAGUGGAAUUCCCGGUGUAGUGGUGAAAUGCGUAGAUAUCGGGAGGAACACCAGUGGCGAAGGCGACUUCCUGGCCUGUUCUUGACGCUGAGGCGCGAAAGCUAGGGUAGCAAACGGG